rnacentral:tRNA from 2 species
GCCUUUGUAGCUCAGUGGUUAGAGCGGGAAUCUCUAAAAUUCUUUGUCGUCGGUUCGAGUCCGACCAUCGGCA